rfam:Mesocricetus auratus contig216771, whole genome shotgun sequence.
GGGAAAUGAGUACAGGGGCCAGCCCCAGGCUCCCAAACCCACACAAGUUUAUGGGGCA